AGCGAACGCUGGCGGCAGGCCUAACACAUGCAAGUCGAACGGACCCUUCGGGGUUAGUGGCGGACGGGUGAGUAACACGUGGGAACGUGCCUUUAGGUUCGGAAUAGCUCCUGGAAACGGGUGGUAAUGCCGAAUGUGCCCUUCGGGGGAAAGAUUUAUCGCCUUUAGAGCGGCCCGCGUCUGAUUAGCUAGUUGGUGAGGUAACGGCUCACCAAGGCGACGAUCAGUAGCUGGUCUGAGAGGAUGACCAGCCACACUGGGACUGAGACACGGCCCAGAUUCCUACGGGAGGCAGCAGUGGGGAAUCUUGCGCAAUGGGCGAAAGCCUGACGCAGCCAUGCCGCGUGAAUGAUGAAGGUCUUAGGAUUGAAAAAUUCUUUCACCGGGGACGAUAAUGACGGUACCCGGAGAAGAAGCCCCGGCUAACUUCGUG
rnacentral:rRNA from 1 species